rnacentral:rRNA from 1 species
UACGGGGGGGGUAAGCGUUGUUCGGAAUUACUGGGCGUAAAGGGCUCGUAGGCGGCCAACUAAGUCAGACGUGAAAUCCCUCAGCUUAACCGGGGAACUGCGUCCGAUACUGGUUGGCUUGAGUUUGGGAGAGGGAUGCGGAAUUCCAGGUGUAGCGGUGAAAUGCGUAGAUAUCUGGAGGAACACCGGUGGCGAAGGCGGCAUCCUGGACCAAUACUGACGCUGAGGAGCGAAAAGCCAGGGGGAGCCAAAC